rnacentral:rRNA from 1 species
GCUUACGGCCAUACCACUCUGAACACGCCCGAACACGCCCGAUCUCGUCCGAUCUCGGAAGCUAAGCAGGGUCGGGCCUGGUUAGUACUUGGAUGGGAGACCGCCUGGGAAUACCAGGUGCUGUAAGCA